UUAACUCAAAUUUGUUUGGAGUUGGAAGGUUUUCCUACGUUUGCCGCUAGGGGCGCUGGUCCGGCUCCAUACACAAUUGAGUUA
rnacentral:pre_miRNA from 1 species